rnacentral:rRNA from 1 species
CGGGUGAGUACUGUCUGUGGUCGGGUCCUACCUUCUGGCGAAGCGUCAUGGCCUUAACCGGCCGUGGCGGGGAACCAGGACUUUUACUGCGAAAAAAUUAGAGUGUUCAAAGCAGGCAAUCGCUUGGAUACAUUAGCAUGGAAUAAUGGAAUAGGACAAUGGUUCUAUUUGUUGGUUUCUAGGACCGUUGUAAUGAUUAAUAGGGAUAGUUGGGGGCAUUAGUAUUCAAUUGUCAGAGGUGAAAUUCUUGGAUUUAUUGAAGACUAACUACUGCGAAAGCAUUUGCCAAGGAUGUUUUCAUUAAUCAAGAACGAAAGUUAGGGGAUCGAAGACGAUCAGAUACCGUCGUAGUCUUAACCAUAAACUAUGCCGACUAGGAAUCGGGCGAUGUUGAAAAAAUGACGC